UACGUAGGGGGCAAGCGUUGUCCGGAAUCAUUGGGCGUAAAGCGCGUGUAGGCGGCCCGAUAAGUCCGCUGUGAAAGUCCAGGGCUCAACCCUGGGAUGCCGGUGGAUACUGUCGGGCUCGAGUCCGGAAGAGGCGAGUCGGAAUUCCUGGUGUAGCGGUGAAAUGCGCAGAGUAUACAGGGAGGAACACCAAUGGCGAAGGCAGCUCGCUGGGACGUGACUGACGCUGAGACGCGAAAGCGUGGGGAGCGAACAGG
rnacentral:rRNA from 1 species